AUGGGGAGCGGGGAGGAGGAGAGGGGCGGCGUGAGCGAGGCCGCCUUCACGGACUCGGCCGACGGGAGCAGCUCCAGCUCCGACGCCGCCUCCACCGACGACUGGCCCGCCCUCGCGCUCGCAGCGCCCAAGAAAGCGCCGCCUUGCAGCGGCGCCCCCGACGCCGAGAUGGCCGGCAAGCUGAAGCGCCGAGGUGGCCCAGAGACGGAGAUGAUGAAGGAGCGGUUCGCGAAGCUGCUCCUCGGCGAGGACAUGUCCGGGAGCGGCAAGGGCGUCUGCACGGCGCUCGCCAUCGCCAACGCCAUCACCAACCUCUGCGCCACCAUCUUCGGGCAGCUGUGGAGGCUGGAGCCGCUGCCGCCGGAGAAGGCGGCCAUGUGGCGGCGAGAGAUGGACUGGCUGCUCUGCAUCAGCGACCACAUCGUCGAGCUCGUCCCCACCUGGCAGUCCUUCCCCGACGGAACCAGGCUCGAGAUCAUGACAAGCAGGCCACGGUCAGAUCUGUACAUCAAUCUGCCAGCACUUCGGAAGCUAGACCAUAUGCUCCUUGAAAUCCUGGACAGCUUCAGGGACACAGAGUUUUGGUACGUCGACCAAGGGAUAUGCGCGGCGGACUGCGAUGGCUCCGCCUCGUUCCGGGCGGCCUUCCACCGCCGCGACGACAAAUGGUGGCUGCCGGUGCCCCGGGUGCCACCCGGGGGCCUCCGCGACAAGACGAGGAAGCAGUUGCAGCACAAGCGCGACUGCGCGAACCAGAUCCUCAAGGCUGCCAUGGCCAUCAACAGCAACGCCUUGGCAGAGAUGGAUGUCCCCGAAUCAUACCUCGACUCUCUGCCAAAGAACGGGAGGGCGACCUUGGGCGACGUGAUAUACCGCUACAUAACGUCGGAUCACUUCUCCCCCGAGUGCCUUCUCGACAGCCUAGACCUGUCGACGGAGUACCAGGCCCUGGAGAUUGCCAGCCGUGUCGAGGCGUCGGUCCACGUGUGGCGCCGCAGGGUGCCCGCGAAACCGGCGAACGGCUUAGGCCGCACCGCCAGCGCCAGCGCAAGGUCAUGGAGCAUGGUGAGGGACAUGUUAAUGGAUUCGGAGAAGAGGGAGCUGCUCGCGGAGCGGGCUGAGGGCCUCUUGAUAUGCCUGAAGCAGAGGUUCCCUGCCCUGACGCAGACAAGCCUCGACAUGAGCAAAAUUCAGUACAACAAGGAUGUGGGCAAGUCGAUCCUGGAGAGCUACUCGAGGGUUCUGGAGAGCCUGGCGUCGAACAUCGUGGCGCGCAUCGACGACCUUCUCAACAUCGACGAGCUGAACAGGCACGUGGAGCAGCUGUCGUCGGGUGAAGCUGACCUGAAGAUGGCCUGCGGCAGGGCCGUGGUGCCACCCUACCAGCAGGUGCCUGCCCCGGGCACGCCGUUUGUGACGUCCUACGCCACGCCUAGCUUCUCCCCGGGGCGGCUGUCGAGCCCGAGGACCUCGGUCGGUGCCGGCAGACGGUCUCAGGGCAACAGGGCCGCCGCCGCCGCCGCGAAGAAGGCCUUGACGGACCAUCUCGGCCCGUCGGAGGUCAGGGGGAUGAUCAUCGUGAACCGGAGCACGAUGGUCGAUGUCUCGACGACCACGGAUCUGUGA
rnacentral:rRNA from 1 species